UUGCAAUGUAAUAAAGUUAUGUUGCAUCCCCUCCUUUCUAUAUGUGUUUGUAUUUCUUUAUGGAUAUUUUACAGCGGAACUCGACGCCUGGAAAAUGGGAAAAAUGUGCAGCAGCGCAAAACCACCCAGGGCAGGUCAGUUGGGCAGGUGGAAAAACAAAUGUAACGCAUCCUGAUGUGCGUGUGGGUGUGUGUGUCAAGGAUUUAUGGGCUUAGCCGGCUGCAGGUCCUUCCUCGGAACCACAACAGCAGCAGGAGUAACAGGACGAGACAGCGGACAAGCAAUCAGCAGUUUUAUGAAAUUUUAAUCAAAGCCCGUGAGCAAACAAUGCCAAAAUGUUUGUUUAGCUGUCAUGUUUACCUGUUGGUUUUGUAGUCAAACCAACUUGGCUUCUAGCCCUACGUCUUGGGCCACCUCGGAGUUAGAGUGGCACUCGGAUGCGCAGUGAAAUAAUGCGGAGGCGGAGAUGCACAGAUGGAGAAACAAAGGACCCCACAAAGCAGAGGAGGUGAUCACCUGGGGUUACCGAUAGCUAGACAGAUUGUAUUUCCCCCGCCUUCCACCUGAUUGACUGUCAAAGGCAGCCACAUCCUGCCUAUGGGAUCAAACGUCAUCAUCUCAUUUCCCCCGUCCAUCCGACACUUAUUGAUUUUACCCCAAACCCACCUUGUUCCGGCUCUGGACUCCUCCAUUUUGGUGGGGGCAGGUCAAAGGCGAAGCGAAAAAGCUGAGUUAUGUUUAGAAAUUUGCAUCGAGCUGAUGGAAUUUGCCAUUUUGAUUGAAUAAAUUUGCUAGUUCUUGA